UACGUAGGGUGCGAGCGUUGUCCGGAAUUAUUGGGCGUAAAGAGCUCGUAGGCGGUUUGUCGCGUCUGCUGUGAAAACCCGAGGCUCAACCUCGGGCCCGCAGUGGGUACGGGCAGACUAGAGUGCGGUAGGGGAGAUUGGAAUUCCUGGUGUAGCGGUGGAAUGCGCAGAUAUCAGGAGGAACACCGAUGGCGAAGGCAGAUCUCUGGGCCGUAACUGACGCUGAGGAGCGAAAGCAUGGGGAGCGAACAGG
rnacentral:rRNA from 1 species